rnacentral:rRNA from 1 species
GUGGGGAAUAUUCCGCAAUGGACGAAAGUCUGACGGAGCAACGCCGCGUGAGUGAUGAAGGUUUUCGGACUGUAAAGCUCUGUUGUUUAGGACGAAAGUGCCUGUUGCAAAUAGUUACAGGUAUUGACGGUACUGAACGAGGAAGCCACGGCUAACUACGUGCCAGCAGCCGCGGUAAUACGUAGGUGGCAAGCGUUGUCCGGAAUUAUUGGGCGUAAAGAGCAUGUAGGCGGGAAUCUAAGUCUGUUGUGAAAAUGCGGGGCUCAACCCCGUAGUGAGAUGGAAACUGGGUUUCUUGAGUGCAGGAGAGGAAAGGGGAAUUCCCAGUGUAGCGGUGAAAUGCGUAGAUAUUGGGAGGAACACCAGUGGCGAAGGCGCCUUUCUGGACUGUGUCUGACGCUGAGAUGCGAAAGCCAGGGUAGCGAACGGGAUUAGAAACCCGGGUAGUCC